UUUUUUUUUUUUUUUUUUUUUUUUUUUGGUCUUUUUGCCUUUUCUAGGGCCGCUCUCGCGGCAUAUGGAGGUUCCCAGGCUAGGGGUCCAAUCGGAGCGGUAGCCACCAGCCUAUGCCAGAGCCACAGUAGUGCCAGAUCUGAGCCACGUCUGCGACCUACACCACAGCUCACGGCAACGCCGGAUCCUUAGCCCACUGAGCAAGGCCAGGGAUCGAACCCUCAACUUCAUGGUUCCUAGUCAAAUUUGUUAACCACUGCACCACGACGGGAACUCCUGGAUCGAGCGACUUUAAACCAUUUACAGGACUGACUGCAUGGGCCCCAGGGGCAGGCAGUCAGCCAAGCGCGAGGGCCACUACAUCCGGGCGCAGGGCAGGGGUGACCACCAGGGGACAGGGGGCCCUGCAGGGGGCCUGUGGUGGGGCUGGCCGGCCCGUGUGGAUGGGGACGUGCACGUUUCUCUGGGACACAUCGUCGUCCUCCUGGGUGCCACCAUCUCCAGGGAAGGGAAGGCAGGUCGCAUCCCAGGACUGGAAACUGCUCUCCAGGUACCAAGACGCUGCCUCAGGUCCACCUGGAGCCGCCUGUCACCUGUCCAGGUGACAUCUCCCACCAGCCUGGGGGCCAGAGCAGGCGUUAGAGGAGGGGCAGGCUCUGGGUACCAGGGACCUGCAUGGCAAGAGGGCCAGGCGGGGGGACAGGAACCCAGAAAGGUCCACACCGCCCCCCCACCCCAACCCAGGGCCCAGGCAGCACACCCACCCUCAGCUGGGAGCCUGACCGCCGGGAGGCAGCAGAGAUGCCGCGCGUGGGCAGCUCCCUCGGGCCGUGCAGGUGCAGCCAGCACCUCACCGCGGGGCCCCCUUCCGCCGCUGCUCCAGCGCCGGCAGCCGCUCCUCCCGGGUCAGCGCGUGCUGGGCCCCCGCCCUGUGGGCCGCCUCGGUGGCCGUGACGUCGAUCUGCGCGUAGCAGGAGGCGCCGGCCCCUGCGAGCAGCGGGGUGAGCCUGCGGGCACCGCGCCCGCCUGGGCAAGGUGGCAGCGGGCAGCUCCCAUCCCCCCAGGGCCAGAGCCCGAGCUUCACUGCGAGGAAAGACGGGGUGAUGAGGCGCCCCGGCCCAGGACCCGCCACCGCACACCCACCUCGGAUGACCGCGCUGGCCUCCGGGAGUCUCAGGCCCAGGUAGUGCUGCUGCUUCUGGGAGGAGGGGCUGGCGGGCACAUUCACAUAAGUGGGCGUCUCAGUGCGGGGCCUCUCGGGCCCCGGGGCUCCUGUGGGGAGAGGGCUGUGAGGCCCCGGGGAGUGGCCCAGGGCUGAGCAGACCCCCUAGAAUGUUCGAGAAAGAGAUCCCUGCCCCCACCCCACAUGUCCCACCCUGCACCUUUCCAGGACCUGGGGGGCCUCCCCAACACCCCACUUUCCUGAACCAUCUUUGCCCACCCCACCCCAUCCCCUCUGCCCCCGCAGCACAUGCCUCUGCCCGCUCACCGGCUGACCGCAGAUGCCCCCUGUGGCCCGCUGGACUAAAGCAGUCACACCCUUCUGCCCCAGCCCCCACCCUCCACCGUCCCCUCCGGCCACUCCCUCCUCCCAGGCAGGACACUCUGGCCCUGCCCAUUCCAGGCCCUCCCCCUCGGUGUCCUCAUAGGUCACCCCACCUGCUCCAGGCUUCAGGGACCCUCUCUGGGCCGUGAGUCCCCACAGGGCAUCAUUCCCUGAGCCCAGGCCCGCACGUCCACCCACAGCGACACCUCCUCCAGGGUGGCCCCAGUACUUCAAGUCCCCUCCAUCGUCCGAGAAACUGCCCCCCCUUGCCCCCCCUUUCCUAGGAGUCGAUGAUUUCACCCAGCAAACACCACCGGGCCGUGAGCCAGGCGUGGCAGGAAGGAGUGGAGACCCAGAGUGCCCCCCCACCCCCACCCAGCCCAGGAGCCCUGCAGUCCAGGCACAGGGUCCCAGCUGCUGGGGCACAGGGGGUGGGGGCCCUGCAGAGAGCCAGCCCCCGUCUCGCCCCAGCGCUGGGUCUGAGGGGGUCUAGGAAGGAGGCCUGAGCUGGACCUGAGGUCAUGCAGACACGCCACGCCACAGCUGGGUUUAAGGCUGGGUGCGUGUUUUCCACAGUGGAAGCAGGACAGGGAGGAAGGUUCUGGGCGGCCCAGCCUCUCCAGGGUCACCAGCGGCACGGGAAGGCCACUGGGCCCCCUUGGCCUCUAGCAGCGCCUGUGUGGGGAGGGUGUCCCCCUGGUGGGCCCUCCGCUGCCCUGGCUCCCCCCGGCUCCCCAGCACCUCCAACCUUCACCUCCAAUAGCCUGCCCCACCCUUCAGGUGGGCCUUCUUUUCUUUCUUUCUGGUCUUUUUAGGGUCACACCCAAGGCAUACGUUGGUUCCCAGGCUGGAGAGUGACUCAGAGCUGCAUCUGCCGGCCUACACCACGGCCACAGCAACGCAGCAUCCGAGCCACGUCUGCCAUCCACACCGCAGCUCAUAGGAAGGCCAGAUCCUCCCGUGAAAAGAUGCUCAGCGUCACUCAUGAUUAGAGAGAUGCACAGCAAAACCACGAUGAGGCACCACCUGACACCAGCCAGAAUGGCCAGCAUCCAAAAGUCUACAAACAGUAAGUGCUGGAGCGGGUGUGGAGAACAAGGAACCCUAGUACACUGUUGGUGGGAUUGCAAAUUGGUGCAACCACUGUGGAAAGCAGUAUGGAGAGUCCUCAGAAAACUAAACAUAGAACUACCAUUUGAUUCAGCAAUCCCACUCCUGGGCAUCUAUCCAGAGAAAACCAUGACUCGAAAAGACACAUGUACUCCAAUGUUCGUUGCAGCACUAUUUACAAUAGCCAAGACAUGGAAACAACCUAAAUGUCCAUCAACAGAGGAGUGGAUCCAGAAGAUGUGGUACAUACACACGAUGGAAUAUUACUCAGCCAUCAAAAAGAACGAAAUACCAGCAUUUUUAGCAACAUGGAUGGACCUAGAAACUAUCAUGCUAAGUGAGGUCAGCUAUACAAUGAGACACCAACAUCAAGUGCUUUCACUGACAUGUGGAAUCUGAAAACAGGACAGACGGAACUUCUUUGCAGAACAGAUGCUGACUCACAGACAUUGAAAAACUUAUGGUCUCCGGAGGAGACCGUUUGGGGGGUGGGGGGAUGUGCUUGGGCUGUGGGACGGAAAUCCUGUGAAAUCAGAUUGUGAUGAUCAUUAUACAACUACAGACGUGAUCAAUUCAUUUGAGU
rnacentral:lncRNA from 1 species